rnacentral:rRNA from 1 species
GACGAACGCUGGCGGCGUGCUUAACACAUGCAAGUCGAACGGAAAGGCCCCCUUGUGGGGUACUCGAGUGGCGAACGGGUGAGUAACACGUGAGUAACCUACCCUUGACUUUGGGAUAACUUCAGGAAACUGGGGCUAAUACCGGAUAGGAGCUCCUGCUGCAUGGUGGGGGUUGGAAAGUUUCGGCGGUUGGGGAUGGACUCGCGGCUUAUCAGCUUGUUGGUGGGGUAGUGGCUCACCAAGGCUUUGACGGGUAGCCGGCCUGAGAGGGUGACCGGCCACAUUGGGACUGAGAUACGGACCAGAGUCCUACGGGAGGCAGCAGUGGCGAAUAUUGCACAAUGGGCGGAAGCCUGAUGCAGCAACGCCGCGUGCGGGAUGACGGCCUUCGGGUUGUAAACCGCUUUCGCCUGUGACGAAGCGUGAGUGACGGUAAUGGGUAAAGAAGCACCGGCUAACUACGUG